rnacentral:lncRNA from 1 species
GAACAGAAGCAUCUAUGACCGACAGUUGCUCUGUGUCCUUCUAGCCUCGCAGGAGUUUCCAGCUCAUGAGGGCAGAGGAGAUGAAGAGAGGCCGAUCGACGUGAGGGUCGUGCAGGUGGCCCCUCUGAGGUGUGACUCCAUAGAUGAUGCAUAUCUGAACCUGGAAACCGCUUCCCACUGUAGAGCGUGUCUGAGUCAUGUCCCUUAGCUUCAGCAGAGCAGAUCCAGCAGGCUCUGAGCUUGACCUCUUUGCCUGAAGCGAGACCUCUAGGUAACGUCUCCAGGGAGGGUGGCACAAAGGAUCCUGGAUCUCCUGAUCACAGCAGCCCAAGAGUGCCGUGUGUGCACCAUGGCUCAAGAAGACUUAAAAAGGGGAAACUCCUCCUGAGGGUGCUGUAGGAGACAUCUGCAAAAAAGAAGAUGCUGGCAAUAUGCCAUCAACCUCAGAGGGGAGUAUUUACCUUGAAAUGGCUCACUUCCUGAGGAACAAACUUGCUGGAUCUAGUGUACGGAAACCUGAUUCUGGGUUCCUUUGGGAAGGAGCAUUACGGGCCUGGUGAGAGCAAAUGACUUUCCAGUAGAAAGCUAUGGCCAGAGAGGCUGCAGGAAUAUCUGUGAACCCAGAGGAAAGACCAGGGAAUCCUGUGUGAGGCAGUGGGGCUUCAGCGGGACUAGGAGUGGGUAGCCUCUCUCAAAUGACUUCUCCUGUUGUUUGUGUUUCUCCAGUGUGGGUGCUGGAGAGCAUAACUGAUGAGGAGGACUCUCCAGCUAGGGAACUGCUUUCCAGGUGGGACUCAGUGGGCAAGGGUUCCCAGGGCCCUUCAGGGUAUUCCUGCUGCUUGGGAGGCUGAGGGAGGGGGCAUAGAAUCAAAAAGAAAAAGGAAAUAUGUGUAAAGUUUGGUUUGGUCUUUUCCAAGUUUAUUGGCGUAGUGGUGAGAACUGUCUCUAUGGGCUAUGAGGGUGCCGUGUUGUUUAAAGAUGAUCUUUCCCAAAACACCUUUUCUGCCUCUGCAUCUGCCAAACAUCACAGCUUCUGCGUUGGAUUAGUCAGCACUCCUUGAUAUUGUGCAAAAGAGGUUUAGGGUUCCCUCAACCUGUGGUGGAGGGAAGGUGAGGGCCACGCCUCUCACAGGCACAUGCUUGAACCUGGAGACAAAGUACUCCUAGGGUUUGCCCAGGGCUGUAGGAAACCUUGAUGAUCAUCCUCUGAACUUUUAGGACUUUUAAAAGCACAUUCAUGUUUCUGUCCUCGCUGUUGACUCCUGGUUUAAAGGGAUUGCCCAGGGUGGAUGACAGAGCGAAUAUUCACUCUGGGUUCACUGCUGGAGCUCCAGUGCCCUGGGAGGGGAGAGGAGAAGCCUGACCUUGAGCACAGCUCCAGCCUCCACUCCCCACCCCUAUCGCAGGCUCUGGGCUGUGGUUUCAUUUUCCCCAGUUCUCUAACUUCUCAGGAAGCCCAGAGUUUCUCCCUAAAGAAAGGUGGCCCUGCACUCUUUCCUCUCCUCCAAAAUUAGGCUUCAGUAGUUGUCCUCUAAGUUGAUAUUUAGACCUUAAAAUCUAGACUUCUUGGAUCAACAAGAAAUACGCAGGAAGUUCCACAUGAUCUCGUGUGAUAGCACGUAACUUAGUGCUACAGGUGACAGUUUUAUUUUUGGAGGAGUCUUAUUUUACAUAGGGAAAUAGAAAACUAAGUGGCUUCCCUUGAGGCAGCCCGAGGGCUCCACUGGACCCAGAACUCUGAGUUCUGAUGCUGCCUAUCAUUUGCUUUUCCUCAUGAGCUCCUGGACCACCUCAUAUCACCAGCACCCUCUACCCAAGGUCCUGGAGCCAACACUGGAGUAAAAGAGCACAAGAGAACUCCUUAGAGGUGGAAGGAUACCCUCUGAGGUCAAAUCAUUGGGCUUGUGGCCAUGAGACCACAGACUUUGCCUGGCUUCCAGUGACUGUCCGAGAUGACCUGUGGAGUGCACCGCCUGUACUUGGACAUCACUGUCUUUUCGGAUCCAUACCCGUCAUCCUUGGAAUUUCCCCUGCAUCCAAACCUGUUCCUGAUACAGGUAUAACCCUAAGGAAUAUCUUGGAUGUCUUCACGGGGCUUAUGACUUAUUCUGAGGUUUACAAAAUAGAGGCCCCCAGCUGAGCAAAGAGAGGGCUGCAGCGCCGAGGGAACAGCUGCCGGACUCACCGGAGAGGCCUCCUGGAGCACGCCGGGACCCCCUCCACCCCCUGGCUUUGGCUGCAUCAAUGGCUAGUUUGCCUGAACUAUAUCUGAGCCACUGAGAGUAUUUAUUAAGCAGAGAAUAAUUUUGAGUUUCACUUUUAUAACUUUUGUUUCAAAAGUUGUUUUGGAUAAUUUAAUGAAAUGACUGUAAACCAGAAUUCCCCUUUUCAUUAUUUCUUUGUGUCAAUAUAAAAAGAGUUGAUGAUUUUAAAAGCCAGUGAGAUGUCCCUGUCUGUGGAUGUCAGCGGGAGGGUGGGGUCUGACGCCUUUCUCUGGUGGCUGUCCAGGAAGAUUGCCCCAGCUUGCACUCCCUUUUGGCGGGUUCCAGAGCCUUCCAUUUGAAAGGAGCAUCUCUCACCACUCUGCCCCACCCAGCACCAGCUCUUCUGGAACCCACUGACUUCCUAAACACUUUCUUCCUCCUUCACCUCAUUGAAUUCAAGACUUUAGAAAACAGCCAAAAACUCUAGAGGUGGGGGUGGGUUCGAUCUGGAAAUCCCUGCUGUAAUCUUUUUAAGGGAAUCCACUGGAAAUUAUUAAUUUAUGUUUUAAAUAAAACCAUUCCUUACUUAACAGAAUAUUAAGCCACUCAUUUUUUUAACAGAACUUUCGAGAUAUAAUUAAAAUGCCAUAAAUUUCACCCCCACACAGUGUACAAUUCCAAGGUUUCCAAUAUAGUCACAGAAGUCUCUGCAACAAUUACCACAAUUUUAGACAUGAAGACCAUUUGUUGGCAGCCCUACCUGCCUCUAUGUGUAUGUAUAUAAUUUUAAUAUUGGAUUGGAUACUAUAGUAAUAUUGUACUGUUACCUAUUUGUGUUUUUAUAUUGCUGUUUUAUUUUAUUCAGAUGAAUAAUAAUUAUCUCCAUAUAGUCAUACAUUUAUAUAGGGUUAAACACACCUUUUUACAAUUCAAUAAAUUAAAUUGGUCAGGUAUGGUGGCUCACGCCUGUAAUCCCAGCACUUUGGGAGGCCAAGGCGGGUGGAUCACCUGAGGUUGGGAGUUUGAGACCAGCGUGAUCAACAUGGAGAAACCCUGUCUGUACUAAAAAUACAAAAAAUUAGCCAGGCAUGGUGGCACAUGCCUGUAAUCCCAGCUACUUGGGAGGCUGAGGCAGGAGAAUCACUCGAACCAAGGAGGCGGACAUUGCGGUGAGCCAGGAUCGCACCAUUGCACUCCAGCCUGGGCAACAAGAGCAAAACUCCAUCUCAAGAAGAAAAAAAAAAAAAAAGUAAAUUGUUUUUAAUUACAUAAGAAACACGUGUUAUUGUUAUAGAAAUUCACAUAGUGCUUCGGUCUAUAGAAUAAAUGUAUCCCCACCACCUCCCAGCCCACCCACUCGUCUGCAUUCACCUACACACAGUUAAACAUGCACAUAUGUUUCCGUGACACGAUCUUGCUUUGCAUAUUGUUCACUGACUGGCUUUUCCAUAUAAGAUUUAAUUUGGUGAUUAUUGCUUAUCAGUACCUAUAGGUCUCUCUCAUUAUUAUUUAUAAUUACAUCAUUAUUCCAUAGGGUAUUUUACCACAAUUUGGUCACUUUUUCACUGAGGAAUUUUUAUGUCAGUUUCAGUUAUUUGUUAUUGUUACCAAUGCUGUACUGGGCAUCCCUGUAUAUCCACCUUUUUGUUGCAUUAGUUAAGUGGUUUUUUCCUUUUAUGAUUGAUUUCUAAAAAUAAAAUACUGCAGCAAAUGUUAAUGUUUAAUAUUUUCAUAAAAUUAAAAAUCUGUGUUCCAAAAAGAAAUCAAUGGUUUAUACUUCUACCAUCAAUGUAUGAGAAUUCCUAUUUCCCCACACCCUUAAUUACAUAGGAAAUUAUCAAUGUUUGCCAAUUUUAUGAUUUUAAAAUAUUUUUACUUUUAAUUUGGAUUUCUCCACUUAUUAGGGAGAUUGUGCAUAUUUGUGUAUGUGUGUUGGCCGUUUGUAUUUCUCCCUGUGAUUUUCAUAAUGAUACGUUUUCCUAGUUUUCUAAUUCAUUUAGUGAUAUUCUUUAUAUGUUCUGCACAUUUAUUAUUUCCAUAUAAUUACUGAGUUUUUUUUAAGGUCUGUGUCAUAACUUUUACUUUGUUUAUAUUGUUUUUGUUUUGAAGAAGGUUUUCUUUUUACAUAGUCAAAUUUUCAAUAUUUUCCUUACCAUUUCUGGAUUUUGUGACAGGCUUUCAAUAGUUGGUCCUUCUAGGGCUUUAUUGAUUUGUUUUGUUUUAAAGAACAUGCUCAAAUCCUACAUUAUAUAGUGAUUUACUUGUUCCCUUUAUAACACGUGGUAGACAUUACUAGUUCCAAUUAAUGUAGAUUAAAUGUAUUCUUUUCAGUUGUGUAGUAAUUCAUAGAUACGUUCUGAUUUCUUUAUUCUCUGUUAGAUGGAUAUUAAGCUUAUUUUUUAAAAUUCCCACCACUAAUGACUUUCCAGUAAUCAUCAAUAUACAUAGAUCCCCCCAAUGUUUUUGUUUUUUUGUUUUUAUGUAGUAUACGAAUCUCAAAAUGGUAUAAUUGAGCUACGAUAAAUUUAAUUAUAAUUUAAAAAAUACUGACAUUAUUUUUCACAGAGUUAAUCAGAUCACACUCUUACCAAUUACAUAAGUAGGCCUCUUCCUAUGUAGGCUCAAUAG